GACGGCAUGCGUCUGGGCUUUUCUGAGUUGCCGGAUUUUGUAUAGAUACAUGAGUCUGCAGUUUUGCGGGGGGCUUUGGACUAAAACAUGGUUAUUGAAUCCAAGGAAAUCUUUGAAACUGCCAAGUAAGAGUUUGUGGAGUAAAACUGAUUUUGUGUUGGCCAGAAUCUCUUAAGGAUCUGUUCAUAUUGUCUGAUUACUGAAGAAGGCAAACAUUUUGAGGCAAUGAAUGGGAAGCAAAAGAGGAGAUUGUGUUUGUGGAAGCAGUGAACAAAACACUGGAAAACAAUGAAAAGGUGAAACACUGAAAAAAAUCCUGGACUUUAUUCCCAGUCCUGACUUUGCCAUAACUAGCAAGAUGAUCUUGGAAAGCCCUUUACAGCUGAACCUGUUUUGUUAUCUGAAUUAAAUGGAAAUGGCUGAACCACGUGAUUUCCUGGUCCCUUCCAGCCAUUAACUAUAUGUUUAUGCUCAUGUGGAUCCUGCAUUUAAAACCCAACUGUUCUCCAGUACCGUAGAAGUAUACAAUCAGGAUGACAGGCUGAAAUGUCCUCUCAUUUUGAUACAUGGUUCCACUGGGGCUUGAAUGUUUCUUUAAAUAUAACAAACAGUGAAUUUGAAGAUUCUGAAACUAUCCUGGGUAGUCUACUGUAGGGAUAAUCAGAUGAAAUUGUAACCGACUUGAGAGUGUUGUUAAUGAGAAAUUCA